rnacentral:rRNA from 1 species
UUUUAUGGAGAGUUUGAUCCUGGCUCAGAGUGAACGCUGGCGGCGUGCCUAAUACAUGCAAGUCGAACGAUGAAGCUUCUAGCUUGCUAGAAGUGGAUUAGUGGCGCACGGGUGAGUAAGGUAUAGUUAAUCUGCCCUACACAAGAGGACAACAGUUGGAAACGACUGCUAAUACUCUAUACUCCUGCUUAACACAAGUUGAGUAGGGAAAGUUUUUCGGUGUAGGAUGAGACUAUAUAGUAUCAGCUAGUUGGUGAGGUAAUGGCU